UAGAAGUUCAUUACAAAUAUUCUUUCUUUAAAUAAAUUCUUUUAUUAUUCAAACUCAAUUUCAUCUUUGUUCCACAAUUCUAAGAGGAUAUGCGCGAUAAAGAGACAAGGGAAUACCGCAGUUUAACGGCUGCAACUAUGAUGAGUGGCAGUUUCGAGUAAUGAUGCAUUUGGAAGCGCUGAAUUUGGAAGAGGUUUUAACGGGUCAACACCCAGAUAAUGAUGUUAAUAUCGACUUUAAGAAGAAAGACCACAAAGCUAAAGAGCGAAUUGUAGCUUGUGUAAGCAAAAUAUUAACAAAAUUGUAUCAGAUGGAAAUUCAAAAGCAGUUUGAUUUAUGAUCGAUACUGAUAAAACUAAAAAUGAUGGGAAUUAUCUUACGUUUAAGCUCGAUUAUGGAUCAAGCGAUCGUCUUGUAAACGAUCGAAAUUAUAAAACGAUCGCAAGAAAUAAAAGUAGCGAAAGAUAAUCAAUCUUUUUUUGCAAAAUGCUCUGGACAGAUUCAAGGUAGAAAAUUUGAUGCCCUAGAACAACUCCAGCGUUGUACUCUGCCCUUAUAACGUGCCUAGGAGAAUCGCAAAUCCUGCAUGAUUGUAUCUCUCGCUGCGUCCAGCGAGACGCAACUUGUCGUUGCACGACCAAUCUAGGACUUCUAUCAGCAAUCCGAAGUCAUGGUUCCUCAACCUUGGCGUAAAGGACAUCCUGGCGAAAUAUUCGCCCGCAGGGCAUUUGUCACCCUCCAGCUCACAGCACCAGCCAACCUCACAAGAGCGGCCAUGGUAGGAGGCUUCACUUCUUCGUGGCUCGUUCUGUGUCUAUCUGCGAUCCGACCAACCCACAAAUAUACCCUUGUCGCUUUUGAAUUACUUUUUCAAAAUAAAUAUGUUGAUCAUUUUUUGUUUAUGUUAA